CGGCUAANUACGUGCCAGCAGCCGCGGUAAUACGUAGGUCCCGAGCGUUNUCCGGAUUUAUAGGGCGUAAAGCGAGCGCAGGCGGUUAGAUAAGUNUGAAGUUAAAGGCUGUGGCUUAACCAUAGUACGCUUUGGAAACUGUUUAACUNGAGUGCAGAAGGGGAGAGUGGAAUUCCAUGUGUAGCGGUGAAAUGCGUAGAUAUAUGGAGGAACACCGGUGGCGAAAGCGGCUCUCUGGUCUGUAACUGACGCUGAGGCUNGAAAGCGUGGGGAGCGAACAGGAUUAGAUACCCUGGCAGUNCACGCCGUAAACGAUGAGUGCUAGGUGUUAGGCCCUUUCCGGGGCUUAGUGCCGCAGCUAACGCAUUAAGCACUCCGCCUGGGGAGUACGACCGCAAGGUUGAAACUCAAAGGAAUUGACGGGGGCCCGCACAAGCGGUGGAGCAUGUGGUUUAAUUCGAAGCAACGCGAAGAACCUUACCAGGUCUUGACAUCCCGAUGCCCGCUCUAGAGAUAGAGUUUUACUUCGGUACAUCGGUGACAGGUGGUGCAUGGUUGUCGUCAGCUCGUGUCGUGAGAUGUUGGGUUAAGUCCCGCAACGAGCGCAACCCUUAUUGUUAGUUGCCAUCAUUCAGUUGGGCACUCUAGCGAGACUGCCGGUAAUAAACCGGAGGAAGGUGGGGAUGACGUCAAAUCAUCAUGCCCCUUAUGACCUGGGCUACACACGUGCUACAAUGGCUGGUACAACGAGUCGCAAGUCGGUGACGGCAAGCUAAUCUCUUAAAGCCAGUCUCAGUUCGGAUUGUAGGCUGCAACUCGCCUACAUGAAGUCGGAAUCGCUAGUAAUCGCGGAUCAGCACGCCGCGGUGAAUACGUUCCCGGGCCUUGUACACACCGCCCGUCACACCACGAGAGUUUGUAACACCCGAAGUCGGUGAGGUAACCUUUUA
rnacentral:rRNA from 1 species